CACUCUUUUGUUAAAAGGGGUUUUUACCACUCAGUUAUGACAAAGGAAUAGCAUUCGAUUUAUUUGCUUAUUGAACCAUGGCAUAGCUAUAAUUGUCUUUAGCAUUAGCAACAGAUGGCUAAUUCCUCCUUCUCUUUAAGACCACCACGGAUAGAAGGCAGUUCUUUUUGGGCACUAAAAAUAUUCCUUUCUCUUUGGCUGCUGGGGUUAAAUGUCAGAGUUUGGUUUUGGUUUCUGACUAUUGUGUGUUGUUGCUCUUUUCCCACCGCUGCUGGCUUUUCUCCUGACAGACAUUACAGCAACAUAAAAACAAAUCUUGAUUUGUUUCCCGAAACCCCAGUGAGCCAUGCAAAUGGCUCUGCAAUCACCUGUGGAGGCCAUGAUGUUUCAAGACCCAAUCUGAAUUUCUUCACUGACAGAAGAGUUGUCCUGUAUGGUUUGUCCUUGUACUGGAUCAAGGGCCUUGAAGACUUAUGUGCCUCUGCAUAUUCAGGGACAGAUAUUGUGAUAUGCAGCCAGUCCUGUGCAAAGCUGAAAAUGUUACCUAACGUUGGUCUCAACAAGCUGGAGAGAAGUGGUGGAGGGAGACUGUCAUGUUACUGGUGAAUAGAGACGUUCACACAAGCAAAUAAACACUGAAGGUCUUCAGUGACUGAUUUUAAUCAGUAGUGAUUAAAGUCAAGAGAGUGACAGUGUGACAACAUGAAUGGCUGUUCAUGCUUUCCUAAAGUUCAAGGCUUCUAGAAUUUACAGUGUUUUAAGCACCUCCAGGUCAAUCACAUAAAAAUGGACAAUGCUUGCAAGAUUGUGUCAGAUGCUCAUUAUCAAAACAAGGGAAGAGAACAAAGACUCAUCACUCAAUUGCAGCAAAAGUCAGCUUUGAAAGGCUUUGCCCUUGUGCUGGAAACCCUGUGUUCCAGCUGCUUUCUUCAAGAAUUGUAGAAUCAUUUGUAUUGGAAAGGGAAAAGAUGAUUUAAAGAUAAUCUAGUCCAGAAAAACCAAGAUCAUCUGGUCUAGAGAAGUGAUAGUUCCACCUUGCUCUUCGUUUGGUAGAGCCCCUGCUACUGACAGCAGAUGUGGCGUGAACAGCUUGGACAAGCCACUUGACUGGGGACGUCUGAACUUCUGAACCCAGUGCGGAUGAUUCACCAUCAUUUGGCAGCCAGAACCAUAACUGGAGUAGAAAUAAAACCCCCCAGUGCUCAGCAAAAGUUGUUUAAACAGUCAUUGGAAAUAUCAAAUAAAUACAGUGAAAUAUUUACUUGCUAAAAUGUUAUUUGCAGUAAUUGCAUAUUUUAUCUUUAACAGCUGGUUGUGUUUGUUACCUGUCUGAUUUUUUAUUCACACUUAAACUGUAGCAACUUAUUUAAAACUGCAUUUAUUAUUUUUCCUGUGCAGGUUGCAGAAAUGAGUGUCAAUAGGAGCACUAUGGAAAUGAAUCAAUUUGUAAUUACAAUAGCAUUAAAUAUAUUUUUCUAGUGUCUGAAUGGAAAACAUUUCAUAUGAAAAAUUAAUUCCACCCACUUGAAAGAGGAAAUCAAAGUUGUGCUUUAGUCUCUGCUCUUUAAAAAUAG